AUUCUACCAGUCAGAAGUAAUUUGGAUAUUAUGUAUAUUACAAUUCUGCUUGUCAGAAUUCUGAAAUUGAAAUAUUUUACAUGUGCUAAAUGUUUGCCAAAUACUAUGCUCUGUUCCCAGCACUGCCAGGCUUCCUCCCUGCUGGUGUCCAGGGCACAAGCCAGAGAAGCUCAGCUCCAUCUCUUUGUGGGCUCAGGCAGCCACUCCUCCUGCUUAAUAAAUAACUGAAUUCAGUAGGGUAGAAUUAGGAAACCACCUUUCUCUUCACAUUAGAAAGGUAAUGUAAAACUUUAAAGAAUGUUUCCACAAGUAACUUAAAAUGGUAUUCGUUUGGACUUUUCUUUCUCAAUUCUUGAAAACAGCUUUGGCAGGGCCUUUUGGGGAUAUUAUUGAAGAGUGGUGUUUUCAGGUAUUAGAAAGCCCAGUUCAGUCUAAAGCCAACUUUCCAUCCUGCAUAAAACUUAAAGGUUUCCUGUAAGCUCUCCACUCUCAGCCCAGCUCAACCCUGACCCUAAAGGUUGAGGUUCAGCGGUGGGAAGGAUGGGCAAUAUUUGUUCUUUUACUCUCUUCUUUCUUCCCCUGUUUCACCCUCCAGACUCCUAGACUGUGGCUCUUGGUAUAUAUCCAUUUGGAGAAUAAGAUACUAGCUCCCCCUUCUGCCAAGCACUGGCACUCUCUGAGAUGCUGGAGAGAUGAGCAAUGGAUGAUUUUGGCUUCCUCUGAAUAACUCCUGAGAGGGCAUGUGUAGUUCCUCUGUGGGAGGACAUUGUCACCUGUGUCAACAGCUUUGAGGCUUUAGCUAAACUUGUGAGAGAGAAAGAUAUGGCAUGUGGAAGACACUGUGGAUGUGAAUGAGGAGUUCUUCCAGCUCUCUUCUCCAGCCCUGGAGCUCCAGAAAGAGGAGGAUGAGCCAGACCCACUGCCCCCAGGUGAAGGCAGCACAUUUGUGGUGUCUCCCAGCAUCUCCGCUUGUGAGUGGCAGGAAGAUAAACUUCACCCACUGGAGACAAGUGGCCCAGAUGGAGAGAAGCUGGGAACCUGGGCCCUGAAGAGCCACCAGGCCCUGGAGCUGGAGGUGAGGAGAGUCCAUCUGGCUCAGAGGAUUGAAGACCUGGAGUGGGAGCUGUCCCUGCUCCUUCAGGCGGCCAACAGCAGUUCGAGCAUGGGAGGGAGCUGGCCCAGCCGACACAGUGGCCUAAGGGGCACUGGGUCACAUCAGAUGCUGCAUGGUGGCCACCUCUGGGAGGUGCCUUCUCACCGAGAACAUGAACGGGUUCCCCUGGUAGGAAGGAGUGGGCAUCUGGGGUCUGGAGUGUGUGCUGGUUUUAUGACGUGCUCCUACAGGGAAACACCUGGAUUUCUUUCAGAGCCUGGACCUCAGCUUGUGCUCAAUUCUGCCUUGAACUUUCUGGGGUGGGGGAAAAUAAACUGACAUGGGUUGACAAAA